AUUUUUAUCAUUUAGGCAAAAAUCCGUCUGUAAAACAACAUAAACACAAAAUCACUUUCAGACAUUUGUAUAAACAUCGGUUCAGUUUUAUCUGAAGUUUAGUAAAUGAAUGAAGAUUACAGACAUAAAUAACGUUUUUUCCUUUUGUUGUUUUUAGGAGACUCUCUCGAUGACUUGAGAGGCGUCAGGAGGUUCAGAGAGGAUGGAGAACCGGGCCGUGGAGAAGAACCACAUGUCCUGUCAGACGUGGGUCGGCCAGAACGGCUGGGCCCCGCCUUCGUCUCAGGGACUCCUCCUCAACCCGCACGCUGGCUCCCAGCACCUGGGCCUGGGCCCCCCGGAUCAGGGCUCGCUGUUCGGCCCCCUGCAGGGCUCCGGUCCCGGCUGCAUGGGCGACAUGAGCGCGCUGGCGAGCGCGCAUCACGCCGCUCUGAAGCCCCUCCACAUGAGCGGCGUUCCAACGUCCAACUCGCUGUUCGACAACAUCACAAACCAGGGGGCGUCGCACCUGCUGUCCUUCGCUCAGCAGAUGGCGGACCCCUCGUCUCUGCUGGCGAAAUCUGCCCCCCCACUGACUCUCCCCCCACCAGACCACGAGCUGCCGCCCUGCAGGCCGCAGCAUCUGACCCAGCUCCCGCCCUCGGACCCCCGCAAAGCUUUCCACGCGCCGCUAGCCGGCCACGCUUUAGCUAACGGGCAUCAGGAUCUCGCCGUCAGCUUUUCGGCGUGCGGGCAGCACGCCAUCUCGGCUCCUUUUGGGGCGCAGGGCCUGGAAGCGGGGGGUGUUUCUGGAUUUACCCAAAGCUACGGGGCGUCUGCGGCUCAGGACCACCCCCCGUGGUCGUCUUCACUGCACGGCCGAGGAGUUUUGAACGAGUCCGUCCCAAAUGCCAGAGUUUGUCCCAACAGAAAUCCGACUGAAGAGGAGCCGGCCGCUCCCGUGGCCGGCGGCGACAAAAGCCGCUCCAGCCUUUUGCAGCAGCGCGCGCAGCUCCUCAAGCAGCUGGAAAACAUGAACAGACUGCUGGAGUCGUUUCCUCCCGAGGAAGAGGAGGAGGAGGAUGAGGAGCAGCCUUCAAACACGCCGCCUCACGAAUCCUCCAGCGAGAAGACGGAGUCCAGCGGUGAAGCUCAGCGCUUUUCCCCGGAGGCAAAGGUUUUUAUCCGGCCGCCGCGUCCUGAAGGCGCCGCGCCGCUCAGCUGACCUCUGACCUUAUCUUAUGUUUAAAGCUGCGUCCUUCAGAGGAUUUCCCAACUUCAACCUGUGAGGAAGAAAACGGAGCUGAAGACGUUUCACCGCAUCCCGCCGAAGUACGUUUGAAUGUAUUUAAGCAUCAAUGUUCUCCUGAACGUCUGGCUCCACAAAUAUUCAGUCAGAAUCACAAUCUAAGAUCUAGAAGAU
rnacentral:lncRNA from 1 species